rnacentral:lncRNA from 10 species
GAGGGUAUGAGGUGGAUAGGGGAUGAGCUACAAGUUUAAAUAGGGUAGACAAGGAGGGGCUUAUUGAAAAACUGACAAUGGAUGAAGGAUGAAUCUGUGUGUUUAUAUGGGAGAAGAUCAACCUAGACAGAGAAAAGGUGACUAAAGGCUCCCAGGAUAACAAAACUGGCUGAAAUUGAUUGGAACCAAUAUGGCUGACUACAGUCUAUGCAGAAUGAACUUGCUGACAUCACAGUCCAAAUUCCCGCCACAUGGUUCAUACUAUCUUCUCCUGAAAUUGCAUGUGUGACUCAUGAAGAGGCAUGAAGAGAUAACAGUACAUGCUUGAGGACUCUCCAGACCUCCUCUUUCCCUCCCCCAAUCAUGUACUAAAGCCAGAAUCCACCCUUGAACAUUUUCUAAUAAAAAUACUGCCUUGAAGGUGGCACCAGGAGACAGAUUUGAGCUGGA